UUAUUCUCUCUCUCUCUCUCUCUCUCUCUCUCUCUCUCUCUCUCUCUUUCUCUGUCUCUUUUUUCUCGCCUUUUUUCUUUCUUCUUACUUGUCGGUGGUAAAUUGGCAUCGUCUAAAACGUGCCACGCACGGUGUCUCGACUCGUAAUCCUACGGCGGACCAAAACAAGUUCGAUCAGAUCGUGUUCUAAGAAGAAGAUGCACUUCGUUCGUACAUAAGGAAGGAGAUGCACAUGACUUACCAACUUUUUGACACUUCGAGGUGACAAACGUGAAUUGAAGGAAGGAAGGAAAGAAGAAAGGAAGGAAGGAAGGAAGGAAGGAAGGAAAGAAGGAAGGAAGGAAGGAAGGAAGGAAGGAAGGAAGGAAGAAAAGGAAAAAGACAGAAAAUGCCGGUCGGUGGACGUGUUGCUGGCAAAGUUGGGAUUUAUAGUUCCCAUUACAAUGGUAAAGGUUACAGUGGUAUUAACGAAGAGAUCAUAUGGAUCAGUAUCGGCAUGGGUAUAACGAUAGCCGUGUUGAUAACGAUAGCACUUUGCUAUAUAGCACGUGAAAAGUGUCGUAAACGUCACGAGGGUUACUAUUCCUCCUGACACACGUUACCACCGCCCUCUUGGGCGACUUGCUCAACUUUCACACCAACAACCCCUAGGGUUUACUUCAGCCCCACAAUCUCGAAGGACAAGCCACGAGCUUAUUACAUCACCGUAUAAGUGGAAUGUCAAAUCGAUGGUGAUCCCUUCAAAUAACGUACGAAGAAAUCGAGUUUGCGUCGAGGAGAGAAAUUCAACAGAGUGCUGCUCCAAUAUACAUACCUACGUUUUAAAGCUUUAAGUGAACGUUCUCGACGAAAAAAAAAAAAAAAGGAAGAGAGAGAGAGAGAGAGAAAAGAAAAAAAAAAGAAAAGAAGAAAUAAAUAAAUAAAUAAAUAAAUAAAUUGAAUAAAUAACUAAAUAAAAGAGACAAACAACUAAAAACGAAGUUAAGCUCUCCCACUGUGAUGACAAGGAUCGAGAAGACAUUAGUGUAAAUAGUAUAAUAAUAGAAUGCAUUUAAAAAAAAAGAAAAAGAAAAAAAGAAAAGAAAGAAAGAAAGAAAGGGAAAAAACUCUUCUUCCUUCAACCUUUGAGAUACGAUCGUUUUACUCUUUAUCAACUGUGUUUCAAGGAACAAACAAACAAACAAACAAACAAACAAGCAAAGAAUAUAUGAAAUUCUAAAACACGAACGCAAAGAAAGAUGAUUAGAUGUCGUCUUUGACAAAUCCUUCUUCCAAUCGAUUUUACGUACCAUCUGUGACAAAAAUUAAUGAAAGUCUUUGAUCAAAGUGUUCUCUCGAGUAGUAAAAUAAAAACGUAAAAAAACAUAAAAAGAAAAAAAAAAAAAAAAAAAAAGGAGAAAAAAGAAAAAAUAAACAAAUAAAAGGAAAACAGAAACAAAUGAAACAAGCGAGAAAACGAGCUAAAUUAGCGACGAGAUGUCGAAGAGAUUAGAUAUUAUUAGAAAUUUUUCGAUUUUACGAUUGUUCGAAGACAAUGGAAUAGGCCGAGAGCAAAAACAAAUUGAUUUUCAAGUUUUCUAUUUACUUUCUACGGUUUUUCUUUUUUUUCUUUUUUUUUUUUGUUCUCUCUUUCAUUAACUGAAAAAAAAAUUAUACAUGUAGAUAAUAUUCCCUUGAAACUUUGAACGAAGCUUUCUCUUUCGCCUUUCGUCUCUUUCUCUCUUUCUCCUCUAUUGUCUUCUAUUUAAC